UCCUCGAUAGCUCAGUUGGUAGAGCAAACGACUGUUAAUCGUUGGGUCGCAGGUUCGAAUCCUGCUCGAGGAG
rnacentral:tRNA from 1 species